AGAAACAACCGUGUUAAGUUUUUCAUAUUAUUUUCAUUCUCGUCCGAUCACCGAAGUUAAGCAACGUCGAGCCCGGUUAGUACUUGGAUGGGUGACUGCCUGGGAAUAGCGGGUGCUGUAGGCU
rnacentral:rRNA from 1 species